CCUACGGGGGGCUGCAGUGGGGAAUAUUGCACAAUGGGCGCAAGCCUGAUGCAGCCAUGCCGCGUGUGUGAAGAAGGCCUUCGGGUUGUAAAGCACUUUCAGCGGGGAGGAAGGCGUUAAGGUUAAUAACCUUGUCGAUUGACGUUACCCGCAGAAGAAGCACCGGCUAACUCCGUGCCAGCAGCCGCGGUAAUACGGAGGGUGCAAGCGUUAAUCGGAAUUACUGGGCGUAAAGCGCACGCAGGCGGUCUGUCAAGUCGGAUGUGAAAUCCCCGGGCUCAACCUGGGAACUGCAUUCGAAACUGGCAGGCUAGAGUCUUGUAGAGGGGGGUAGAAUUCCAGGCGUAGCGGUGAAAUGCGUAGAGAUCUGGAGGAAUACCGGUGGCGAAGGCGGCCCCCUGGACAAAGACUGACGCUCAGGUGCGAAAGCGUGGGGAGCAAACAGGAUUAGAUACCCCUGUAGUC
rnacentral:rRNA from 1 species